AUCCAGCUGACGAAUCCCAAAUAAGACGAUACUCGCGUCAAAUUGGAU
rnacentral:hammerhead_ribozyme from 1 species